rnacentral:rRNA from 1 species
GGCGAACCGUGCGAACGUUAUUCGGAAUCACUGGGCUUAAAGCGCGUGUAGGCGGAUGGGGACGUCGGUCGCUGAAAUCCCCCGGCUCAACCGGGGAACGGGCGCCGAAACGCCCCGUCUCGAGGGACGUAGGGGGACCUGGAACUUCCGGUGGAGCGGUGAAAUGCGUUGAGAUCGGAAGGAACGCCCGUGGCGAAAGCGAGGUCCUGGACGUCUACUGACGCUGAGACGCGAAAGCUAGGGGAGCGAACGGG